GCCCGCUCAAGAAACUUAAAGGAAUUGACGGGGCCCGCACAAGCGGUGGAGUAUGUGGUUUAAUUCGAUGCAACGCGAAGAACCUUACCUGGUCUUGACAUCCCAGAGACCCUUAGGAAACUAGGGGGUGCUUCCAUCUGGAAGAAUCUGGAGACAGGUGCUGCAUGGCUGUCGUCAGCUCGUGUCGUGAGAUGUUGGGUUAAGUCCCGCAACGAGCGCAACCCUUGCCUUUAGUUGCCAGCAGUUCGGCUGGGCACUCUAAAGGGACUGCCGGUGUUAAACCGGAGGAAGGUGGGGAUGACGUCAAGUCCUCAUGGCCUUUAUGACCAGGGCUACACACGUACUACAAUGGCCGAUACAAAGGGCAGCGACACUGCGAGGUGAAGCCAAUCCCGUAAAAUCGGUCUCAGUCCGGAUUGGAGUCUGCAACUCGACUCCAUGAAGUUGGAAUCGCUAGUAAUCGUGGAUCAGCAUGCCACGGUGAAUACGUUCCCGGGCCUU
rnacentral:rRNA from 1 species